rnacentral:rRNA from 1 species
AUACGGAGGGUGCGAGCGUUACUCGGAGUCACUGGGCGUAAAGCGUCCGUAGGCGGUCGGGUAAGUCGGGUGUGAAAGCCCCGGGCUCAACCUGGGAAGUGCACCCGAUACUGCCCGACUCGAGUGCGUGAGAGGAUGGCGGAAUUCCCGGUGUAGCGGUGAAAUGCGUAGAGAUCGGGAGGAACACCAGUGGCGAAGGCGGCCAUCUGGCCCGCAACUGACGCUGAGGGACGAAAGCGUGGGGAGCAAACAGAAUUAGAAACCCGAGUAGUCC